GAAGCUUGCUUCUUUGCUGACGAGUGGCGGACGGGUGAGUAAUGUCUGGGAAACUGCCUGAUGGAGGGGGAUAACUACUGGAAACGAUAGCUAAUACCGCAUAACGUCGCAAGACCAAAGAGGGGGACCUUCGGGCCUCUUGCCAUCGGAUGUGCCCAGAUGGGAUUAGCUAGUAGGUGGGGUAACGGCUCACCUAGGCGACGAUCCCUAGCUGGUCUGAGAGGAUGACCAGCCACACUGGAACUGAGACACGGUCCAGACUCCUACGGGAGGCAGCAGUGGGGAAUAUUGCACAAUGGGCGCAAGCCUGAUGCAGCCAUGCCGCGUGUAUGAAGAAGGCCUUCGGGUUGUAAAGUACUUUCAGCGGGGAGGAAGGGAGUAAAGUUAAUACCUUUGCUCAUUGACGUUACCCGCAGAAGAAGCACCGGCUAACUCCGUGCCAGCAGCCGCGGUAAUACGGAGGGUGCAAGCGUUAAUCGGAAUUACUGGGCGUAAAGCGCACGCAGGCGGUUUGUUAAGUCAGAUGUGAAAUCCCCGGGCUCAACCUGGGAAACUGCAUCUGAUACUGGCAAGCUUGAGUCUCGUAGAGGGGGGUAGGAUUCCAGGUGUAGCGGUGAAAUGCGUAGAGAUCUGGAGGAAUACCGGUGGCGAAGGCGGCCCCCUGGACGAAGACUGACGCUCAGGUGCGAAAGCGUGGGGAGCAA
rnacentral:rRNA from 1 species